UACGAAGGGGGCGAGCGUUGUUCGGAAUUACUGGGCGUAAAGGGCGCGCAGGCGGCUCUGAAAGUCAGAUGUGAAAUCCCUGGGCUCAACCCAGGAACUGCGUCCGAUACUGGAAGGCUUGAAUCCGGGAGAGGGAUGCGGAAUUCCAGGUGUAGCGGUGAAAUGCGUAGAUAUCUGGAGGAACACCGGUGGCGAAGGCGGCAUCCUGGACCGGUAUUGACGCUGAGGCGCGAAAGCCAGGGGAGCAAACGGG
rnacentral:rRNA from 1 species